GGGGGCGGGGGCUGAAUAGAGCCUGGUGUGGUCCUGGCAGCAUUUCAAGCAAUGUGCAUGGAGGACAACGAGCCUUGUACUAUCAUCUCCGGAGGUUUGUGCAGCAGCCAGGCGGGGAUGGAAUGUGGACACAGGCAGCCACUUCCGGCACCCAGCUCUGAACGACCAGCUACACUGCCUUCUGAAAGAACGUGUAAACAAAGGGGUUCACCCUCGCAUGCAGCGAAGGCUUCACCGAUGAGCCCUGUCACCAGCCUUUCACACUUCUUUCUUUGAUCCCUCCUGAGACUGACACAUUCAUCUGAAAGCCUCCCUGUGACAUCAUACGGGAUUCAACAAUUUGUGAACCCCAUCAGAAGCCCUGCCCCAAGCCCCGGACCGGGCAACACAGAGGACCCGACCAAGGCCGCCCCUAACUAUGGCUCUCUUUCCAUGGCACUUCCCUGGGACUCCAUGUUACAGACAACAGGAGCCAGCACAACCCCAUCAGCUUGAAGAAGCCACUUGAGGACUUCCAACCAUCUUCCCAAGACUGGACCCUUUGCUCUGUUGGGGGAAUGUAGAGGGAAGGCAAUGACCAAAAGACCAGAGAGGGAAUAGUCUCUACUACAAGCCUGGCUCGGAAAGCAUCCCUAGCCUUUAAUCUGGGAGGCAAGUGCAGUGUAUCUCUGUGAGUCCAAGGCCAGCCGUAGUUACGUAAUGAGUCUGAAACAAUCAAACAAAAGAAGAAAUGAAAAAAAAAGGCUUCCACAAACAAACAAACAAAAAGCCCAGCCCCUACUGCACUCAGACUGCAAACAGAAGAACUUGAAAUGGCACUGCCAAUCAAAAUUAGUCACUACCAAUACUGAAGAGCUCCCAUCCAGAACCUAAUGCCAACCAGUCAGGGCUUCCCUCAUUUGCAUACACCAUGGCCCACCCUUGGGUCAGGCACAGCCCAUCGACCUCAUCCCUGGGAUUGCAGGCUCACUCCUAUGCUUCUUGCUGUUUGAUUGCACCAGAAAGAAUGAUGUCCAGGUCCAGAGAUAUCUGACUCCUCUGGCCUCGGCCACUGCCUUCACUCAAGUGAGGAGGAAGGAAGCUCUACUUGCAUUUCAUCCCAUUUUGGACUGGUUGGACUUUUUUUUACACUUAUAUAUUGGAUAUAAUAUCACCACACCUAUCUAAAGGCUCUCCUUGUGGGCUGAUGUGUAGGGCUGGUUCUCAGCACUAUUCCCACACCUCCUAGUAUUUUUUUCUAAACUGCAGAGGCUAAAAGUGGGCUUGUUUUCCAGACUUUCUUCUUGAUACCUCAUGACAACAAACCAUCCAGUCAUAACUAAAUGUUCACACUUUAAUCCCAGCACCAAAGAGGCAGAAGCAGGCAGAUCUCUGUGAAUUUCAAACCAGCUAGGGACAUACAGCGAGACUGUGUGUGUGUGUG